GGCGGCGUGCCUAAUACAUGCAAGUCGAGCGGACGGAUGGGAGCUUGCUCCCUGAAGUCAGCGGCGGACGGGUGAGUAACACGUGGGCAACCUGCCUGUAAGACUGGGAUAACUUCGGGAAACCGGAGCUAAUACCGGAUAAUGCACAACCUCUCAUGAGGCUAUGCUGAAAGAUGGUUUCGGCUAUCACUUACAGAUGGGCCCGCGGCGCAUUAGCUAGUUGGUGAGGUAACGGCUCACCAAGGCAACGAUGCGUAGCCGACCUGAGAGGGUGAUCGGCCACACUGGGACUGAGACACGGCCCAGACUCCUACGGGAGGCAGCAGUAGGGAAUCUUCCGCAAUGGACGAAAGUCUGACGGAGCAACGCCGCGUGAGUGAUGAAGGUUUUCGGAUCGUAAAACUCUGUUGUCAGGGAAGAACAAGUGCCGGAGUAACUGCCGGCACCUUGACGGUACCUGACCAGAAAGCCACGGCUAACUACGUGCCAGCA
rnacentral:rRNA from 1 species